ensembl:lncRNA
UGGAUGGUAAUGCCACAGAGCUUUGAAGGCCUGUGGUGAGGUCUGGCAUUCCACGUCUAGGCGGAAUUGCUUUCCUUUCCAAAAGGAAGGACACUACACAGCUGCCUAAAUACAGGCACUAGUUCUGUGUCAUAUAACAGCUUAUCCAAGGUAUGUGCAUGGAAACAGCAGGCAUGGCACAGGCCUCUGGGGAAAGCUGCUUUUCACUGGAGCAGCAAGAGAUAGACCUUCCGAGCAGUAGCUUCAUCAUCCUUUUUCACAACCAAGUGUCUACUUCUGCAGUGCUGGUGUGUAUCUCCGAGUGCAUUCACUUGAUAAGUGUAAAUAUGUCACCAAUGAAGAUGUUGAGUGUGAUGGGAUGCAGUGCUAACCCCUGGGAAAAACUGUCUAGCUACAGGUCUCCAGCUGGAUUCCAUAUAGCUGAUUACAACCCUAUAAGCUCAGCCAAUCAGGCAUCUUGUUCCAUUUUGUCAGUUUGAAUGGGGCAGGAUUUUCUUCAUCCUAUAGCACCAAAUGGCUUCAGUGAACAGUAGUACAAUGGUUUGGACAUAGUGGCUCGUACAACUUGCCUGCAAUGAGGAAAGCUGCUUUCCUCAACCUGUUGCUUCUCUGCAGAGCAAGUCUUGUGGGUGAAGUGGCAAUUGGUGGUUGUCUUGGCCAUGAAGCUCUAUGUAUAAAUAUAGUAUGGAGAGACUUACUUGGCGUGCUUGAUUUUGGGGAAACCAGUAAGCUCUCAGGCAUAUGCAAAUCUGAAAUAAAUAAGCUAUAUCUCUC